GACGAACGCUGGCGGCGUGCCUAAUACAUGCAAGUAGAACGCUGAAGGAGGAGCUUGCUCUUCUGGAUGAGUUGCGAACGGGUGAGUAACGCGUAGGUAACCUGCCUGGUAGCGGGGGAUAACUAUUGGAAACGAUAGCUAAUACCGCAUAAUAGUAGAUGUUGCAUGAUAUUUACUUAAAAGGUGCAAUUGCACCACUACCAGAUGGACCUGCGUUGUAUUAGCUAGUUGGUGGGGUAACGGCUCACCAAGGCGACGAUACAUAGCCGACCUGAGAGGGGGAUAGGCCACACUGGGACUGAGACACGGCCCAGACUCCUACGGGGGGCAGCAGUAGGGAAUCUUCGGCAAUGGACGAGAGUCUGACCGAGCAACGCCGCGUGAGUGAAGAAGGUUUUCGGAUCGUAAAGCUCUGUUGUAAGAGAAGAACGAGUGUGAGAGUGGAAAGUUCACACUGUGACGGUAUCUUAACAGAAAGGGACGGCUAACUACGUG
rnacentral:rRNA from 1 species